UACGUAGGGCGCAAGCGUUAUCCGGAAUUAUUGGGCGUAAAGAGCUCGUAGGCGGUUUGUCGCGUCGAAUGUGAAAACCCCGGGGCUCAACCCCGGGCCUGCAUUCGAUACGGGCAGACUAGAGUUCGGUAGGGGAGUCUGGAAUUCCUGGUGUAGCGGUGAAAUGCGCAGAUAUCAGGAGGAACACCGGUGGCGAAGGCGGGACUCUGGGCCGAUACUGACGCUGAGGAGCGAAAGCGUGGGGAGCAAACAGG
rnacentral:rRNA from 1 species